ACCUGUCGCGGGUGGACGCUGAGGUGCCCGCGACACAAGACAGAACACCGUGCCACGGGAACAAACGGGGCACUUCUGGGCGUU
rnacentral:sRNA from 1 species